rnacentral:rRNA from 1 species
CCUACGGGAGGCAGCAGUGGGGAAUAUUGCACAAUGGGGGAAACCCUGAUGCAGCGACGCCGCGUGAGUGAGGAAGUAUUUCGGUAUGUAAAGCUCUAUCAGCAGGGAAGAAAAUGACGGUACCUGACUAAGAAGCCCCGGCUAACUACGUGCCAGCAGCCGCGGUAAUACGUGGGGGGCAAGCGUUAUCCGGAUUUACUGGGUGUAAAGGGAGCGUAGACGGCUAAUCAAGUCAGAAGUGAAAACCAUGGGCUCAACCUGUGGCCUGCAUUUGAAACUGUUUUUCUUGAGUACUGGAGAGGCAGACGGAAUUCCUAGUGUAGCGGUGAAAUGCGUAGAUAUUAGGAGGAACACCAGUGGCGAAGGCGGCUUACUGGACUGUAACUGACGUUGAGGCUCGAAAGCGUGGGGAGCAAACAGGAUUAGAUACCCCAGUAGUC